rnacentral:rRNA from 1 species
ACGAAGGGGGCUAGCGUUGUUCGGAAUCACUGGGCGUAAAGGGCGCGUAGGCGGCUUUGUAAGUCGGGGGUGAAAGCCUGUGGCUCAACCACAGAAUUGCCUUCGAUACUGCAUGGCUUGAGACCGGAAGAGGUUAGUGGAACUGCGAGUGUAGAGGUGAAAUUCGUAGAUAUUCGCAAGAACACCAGUGGCGAAGGCGGCUCACUGGCUCGUUUCUGACGCUCAGGCGCGACAGCGUGGGGAUCAAACAGGA